rnacentral:rRNA from 1 species
CGCCUUGCCAGCCCGCUCAGAAACUCAAAGGAAUUGACGGGGGCCCGCACAAGCGGUGGAGCAUGUGGUUUAAUUCGAUGAUACGCGAGGAACCUUACCUGGGCUCAAAUGUAUGUUGACGUAUUCUGAAAGGGAUACUUCUUCGGACAAUAUACAAGGUGCUGCAUGGUUGUCGUCAGCUCGUGCCGUGAGGUGUCGGGUUAAGUCCCAUAACGAGCGCAACCCCUACCUUUAGUUGCCAUCAGGUUAAGCUGGGGACUCUAAAGGAACUGCCUACGCAAGUAGUGAGGAAGGCGGGGAUGACGUCAAAUCAGCACGGCCCUUACGUCCAGGGCUACACACGUGCUACAAUGGCCGAUACAGAGGGCAGCUACCUGGUGACAGGAUGCAAAUCUCCAAAGCCGGUCUCAGUUCGGAUCGGAGUCUGCAACCCGACUCCGUGAAGUUGGAUUCGCUAGUAAUCGCGCAUCAGCCAUGGCGCGGUGAAUACGUUCCCGGGCCUU